CAAUAGCGUAUAUUAAAGUUGUUGCGGUUAAAAAGCUCGUAGUUGGAUUUCUGCUGAGAACGACCGGUCCGCCCUCUGGGUGUGUAUCUGGCUCUUUCUUGGCAUCUUCUUGGUGAACGUUGCUGCACUUGACUGUGUGGAGCGCUACCCAGGACUUUUACUUUGAGGAAAUUAGAGUGUUUCAAGCAGGCAUACGCCUUGAAUACAUUAGCGUGGAAUAAUAAGAUAGGACCUCGGUUCUAUUUUGUUGGUUUCUAGAGCUGAGGUAAUGAUUAAUAGGGAUAGUUGGGGGCAUUCGUAUUUAACUGUCAGAGGUGAAAUUCUUGGAUUUGUUAAAGACGGACUACAGCGAAAGCAUUUGCCAAGGAUGUUUNCAUUG
rnacentral:rRNA from 1 species